AAACUAACAAGGAUUCCCUUAGUAGCGGCGAGCGAAACGGGAAGAGCCCAGCACUGAAUCCUGACGCGUUGACACGCGGUGGAAAUGUAGUGUGUGGGAGGAUCUGUAUAAGCCGGCGGGGACCUCGUUUAAGUCCGUCUUGAAAGCGGCCACAGCCCAUAGAGGGUGCCAGGCCCGUAUGACGAUGUGUGGAGCCCGCCGGCAUGGAUCUCUCCCAGAGUUCAAGAGUACGUGAAACCGUUCAGGGGUAAACGAAUGAUAACUGGAAAAUCGAAGCGAGAGAUUCAAACCGUGAGUCGCGCGUUGUCUUUGGCGGCGUAUCGAUCAUCUGCCUUCCCCCGUCAAUGGGCCCUAAAACCCGACGGUGCGGCAACGCAGCAUGCACGAACGGCCGCCACGGUCGCCGGCAUCGGUCUGCACUUUUCUCGUGGUAGUACGCCGCGACUCGUUGGGUGCGCGUCUAAGGCCCAUGCGGGAGCCGGCACUAACUACGCGAAUUACUCGCGUACACGGAGCCGACCGCGAGGUGACCCGACGAGCUUGCCCGACGGUGUAUAAGCGAUACGACAAGAGUCUUGCGCUUCGGCGCUCGAUGGCCGUCACCGGCACGUUCUCGCGUCAGCGGUGCUCCAUUCAGAGCCCAUUCGACCCGUCUUGAAACACGGACCAAGGAGUCUAACAUGUACGCGAGUCAUUGGGAACCACUAAACCUAAAGGCGAAAUGAAGGUAAAUGCCGGCCGCCUCGGCGGUCGGCAAAGGAGUGAUGCCGCGCCUUUGAAUCGAAUUUCUUUACACAAGCCGGCCGCAACUCCGGGGCGUCUCGUCGUCAUCGCGACGCAGCAGGCGCACCUAAAGCGUACACGUUGGGACCCGAAAGAUGGUGAACUAUGCCCGGCCAGGUCGAAGCUGGUGCUCGAAGUAUAUCCAGCGCGAAGUUUGCCGCGCGAGCGGCAUUCGCAUCCAGUCUCAUCUGGUAAAGCGAAUGAUUAGAGGCAUUGGGGUCGAAACGACCUCAACCUAUUCUCAAACUUUAAAUGGGUGAGAUCCUCGACUUGCUUAAGUGCGCUGUCGUUGAAGUCGAUCCCGCGGGAUGAACGGGCACCUAGUGGGCCAAUUUUGGUAAGCAGAACUGGUGCUGUGGGAUGAACCAAACGUCGAGUUAAGGCGCCUAAAUCGAUGCUCAUGGGAUACCAUGAAAGGCGUUGGUUGCUUAAGACAGCAGGACGGUCUUGUUGAUACGCAGUCUCAUAGUUUGUUAAACAUACACGCUGGCACACGCACCCACGCUAAAUAGUGACAUUGUACCUAGCAAACUGACCGUAUCGGGCGAAAGGGAGUACGGUUCCCAUUCCGUAACCCGGCAGCGGAACCGAUGCGCGGGCCACUGCAGCAAUGCAGAACUCGUCGGGGUGACCCAAAAGGACCCGGAGACGUCGUCGGAUGAUCGCGGCAGAGUUAUCUGUUCUGUAUAAGCGUCUAUGUUCCCUGGAAUCGCCUAGCGCGGAGAGAGGGUUUGGCUCGCGAAGAGCAUCGCACUUGCGGCGAUGUCACGAUCAUUCCGACGAACCUUGAAAAUCCGGGAGAGGGCCACGUGGAGGUGUCGCGCCGGCUCGUACCCAUUUCCGCACAAGGUCUCCAAGGUCCGG
rnacentral:rRNA from 1 species